GUUUCUGUAGUGUAGUGGUCAUCACGCUUGCCUAACACGCAAGAGGUCCUUGGUUCGAAACCAAGCAGAGACA
rnacentral:tRNA from 1 species